AUUAUUUUACCUUUCCCUCCAAAUAUUUUGCACACGAUUUACUUAUUCCCUCCUAAAAAUAUUCUCGCUAAAUCACCAAUUAAUUUCAAAAAAAUUCAGAAGUUUUCUAGAAAGGCAAAAUAGCGCUGCAGCUCAACCCUAACUCAUGCGUCUCACCAUCGCCCCUUCAACAUACAGAAGAGACUAUUAAACAUUCUAAAGAGUUGUGGAAUUUGGGUGUUAGGGUUUGUGAAAAUCAGAGAUGAUGUUCGUCUACGGGCUGAUCUGUGCAUUGAUGACGGUGGUUUUCUUCAUCCAAUAAUGAUAACAUUGUCGCUUCGGUGCUCUUCCAGCUGCUGUUCCCAAAAUCGAUCCUACUGUAUAUGCUUUCAAGAAUUUUCUUAAGUUUUUCUUUCCUCGGAUGUUUUAUAUUCAUUGCCUACAAGAUUUGAGUUUUCUCUUUAUGUAAUCCAAUUACAAUGACCUUUUUUUAGAGCGAGAAAUUCAUCAACUUUAUGGGUGUACCGUCGAUCCUAAAUCAUGUAAGUGCUGUAAAGAGAAUUCUUUCAAGUUUGUAAGCUUACUGUUUCUGAUUCGAUAUGGGCUAAAAAGGAACUGAUAUGCAAAUUAAUCCAGGGAUGAAGUCUUUCGGUUAUGGAGGCCUUUUUUAUUUUAGCCUGUGUAGGUAUAGCUCCAUUAGAUCUACAACCAUUUUUGUUUCCCUUUUAAUUUCAUUAGGGCUGAAUAGUUAAAAGUUGUAUUAAUCAAAUAGCAGAUCUAGACUAUAUCUCUGACACGCGAAAUCUAUCUUCUUGACUGUUGCUUAAAUUUAUGGUGUCUGCUUUACUAGAAGUGCUUUGAUGGCUAAGGAUUUCAAGGUAUAAUAUAGCUAUUACAUUCAAUAGGAGUGGACUCAAUAGUACCCAUUUUGGUUAUACUUACCAAAUCUGCAUCUAUUGAUUCUAUUCACAUUCAUAAAUACUGAAGUGUCAGGUGGCGAGUUCUUUCGAAUUUAUUAUUCUUUGCAGAAGAACAUUAAAACCUUGAAUCCAUGAUGGAAGUUCCAUGGAGGAGUUCAAGACGCUCAUUCAACCUUGCACACUUUACUUUCUUGUUCUUUACACUAGAACAUCAAAAGCUGGUACUAUUUUGGGACUUUAAGGUUGAACGCAAAAGGGUGCAGAGAAGUGUGGUCUGUGGUGGCAUUCCUUUGCAGAUGGGUAAUAUGGUUUUAUGAGUAGCAGUAGUAGCUAAAACCAAUCCUUGUCUUUGUGUUCUGUUUUGUGAAUUUUUUUCUCUAACAAAUGUUUCUUUAUUUUGUAUCUUGAUGGAAGGAACAAAUUGAUCUAGUCUGCAACACCAGUUGGACCCAAUGGUCAUACAAUAUGGAGUUUGAAAAUUUCGCUUUUGGAAGAUUCCAAUAUGAUGAAGAGUUGGGAACAUUAAUUGAUAAGAUUAGUUAUAUAAUGACAUUAGUUAUUUAUUUCAAACAAUAUCAUUUUAUUUUUUAAAGUUGUGACAUUAAUAUUUUGGAUUAUUACUUCUUUUUGUUUGUUUAGAUUAAUAAGAUGUACUAUAUAGUAUUUGCCAAACUUUGUUGUCACUGUGAGAUUCUC